ACAGGCAUUACCUCAGUCAGUCCUCACAACCACCACAAGGUGAGGGACCCUAUCCCCAACUCCACACGUGAGCAGACCGGGGCUCCAAGUAGCUAAAGGACUGCCAGAGGCAGUCAGAGGCUUCUUGGUUGGAUGUAGGGACAUCCAACACUUUGGCCUAUGGGCCAUUCUGAGGCUUCAAACUUGGAGACCCUAGAUGUGGGGGCCUGGCACUGUCCAUAAAUCUUAUCAACUCAGGGCGAUUAGGAAAACCCAGCAAAUCAGAAGACAUCAACCAAAUGUGUCAAAUGUUGAAAGAAACUUGGAAACUGGAACUCUAAUGAUUCUGAGGUCCUUCCAAAAGUAGAGAAGACUCUAGGGUCUAAAGCACUUUUUUCCUACUAGAUUAAAGAUGACAACUGAGGAUCUCUAUUUGCUUUUGAACCAGGAUCCCCAAUAGAAAACUGCGAUUUCCAGUGCCCCUUGAUACGCCAUUCCUAUUUAGUUGCAUGUAUCCGCCAACCCUCCCCCAACUGAUAAACAGAAAGGCCCUGAACGCAGUGAAGACAGCUGGACAGUGAACAGCUGGGGAGAAAAACAAAGACCACCACUCCUGGGGUAAGACAGCAAUCACACACAGAGGGUUGAUUCAGCUGAUCUGGCUGGCUAAGUAGGUGUCCCCUUCCUCCAUGGGGAUGCUCCAUGUGCAUCCCUCCAGAAGCUGCACACUUGGUCAAAGAGGACGACGUUCCCCAGUAGAGGAGGACCAUUCUUCAGUCAGGGUAUAUGAGCAGCUGUACUCCCCUGCUAGAACCUCCAAACAAGCUUUCAAGAAUUCCAUUUUUAUUCCAAUUCCUGAUUUUAUAACUGGAACCGUUACAGGACAGAAUGCCAGAAAGAAGACACCAGUCCUAUUCCUAUGAGAUGUUGAGACACAUGACCAUGUCAACCUUGUGGGCCAGUAGUGCUCCAGUGUGCUGGAGAGGUUAGUAAGACCACAGAAAGCAUGCCUCAGAGCUGUCCUUUGAGGGCUGCUCCUGAAGGCCUUACUCCCCAGCAUUUCUGGGCUGAGCACUCCAGUGGCCCCAGGCUAAAGGUGCUGAGAGUGGCUACCUGUGAUGAGUAGCAAGCCAUCCCAUCAGCCUGCUCAGCAACGAUGAGCGCAGAGAAGAUCCGGAGGGUUAAUGCCGAUAGAGAAUGCUAUGACUGCAGGUCUUGAGGACAGCUGGCAGAACUCGGAGUUCUCCAAAAAAGAUGGUAUACUUUGAGGGCAGAACCAACACCACCUUCUGUAGAACAUUGGGACUGUGGUGUAAGGGCUGGCUCUGGGAGCUUCCCUGGUCUCACUGGCACCAAGGAGAAGAAGGGGAAUGGGUCGACCAGGGAAACAAACAUACCUGCCAUUUUUUGUAGCCCUGAAGCUGCCAAGCUCCUACUGGUAGAAAGAAGAAAGGCUAAACCAACUCACAAACUCACACAAAACCCGUCAGAAGGAGCUUUGCUAUGAACCUAAGAGACUUCCUGCCACCUUGGAAUUCUACUCUAGUUCCUUCUCUACACAUAGCCCCAAAAAGUAGCUGGUCCAAGAAGAACCCACUUUAUCUAAAGGAGAGUUAUAGUAAAAAAGAAACAGCAACUUUGGGGGGAGGGGGGAAAUGGGCAUUUAUUGAAACCUUA